AAUGAACGCUGGCGGCGUGCUUAACACAUGCAAGUCGAACGGUGAAGCAGGAGCUUGCUCCUGUGGAUCAGUGGCGAACGGGUGAGUAACACGUGAGUAACCUGCCCCAGACUCUGGGAUAAGCGUUGNAAACGACGUCUAAUACCGGAUACGAGACGAGAAGGCAUCUUCAUCGUCUGGAAAGAACUUCGGUCUGGGAUGGACUCGCGGCCUAUCAGGUAGUUGGUGAGGUAACGGCUCACCAAGCCUACGACGGGUAGCCGGCCUGAGAGGGUGACCGGCCACACUGGGACUGAGACACGGCCCAGACUCCUACGGGAGGCAGCAGUGGGGAAUAUUGCACAAUGGGCGCAAGCCUGAUGCAGCAACGCCGCGUGAGGGACGACGGCCUUCGGGUUGUAAACCUCUUUUAGUAGGGAAGAAGCGAAAGAGAC
rnacentral:rRNA from 1 species